AAGGGUUGGAAACCAAAAAGAAAUACAGGACACAUGGGCAUGUAUGCAUCGAAGGAGAGCUCGGGGUACGGCCGCCGCCGCCGCCACGCGUGGAUGGUCUUCCUGUCUGGCCAUCGGGGUAGCCCACGCGGGCGAGCUGCAGAUUUGGAUGGGCUGCCUGGCCCACGCAGCGGAUGGCGGUGGUUCGAGCAACUCCUCGACGCAGGGGAAAAGAUUGGCGGCGCUGGAGUUCGCCGGAACGGGCAGGCGGCCGGUGGGUGACGCGAGGCCGCGGCGCCGGCGCGAGGAAGACGAGCGGAUCCGGCUGCUGCUGGCGCGGCGGCUUGCUCCGGUGGCGGCGGCGUCCUGCUCAUCCGUAGAAAGAGAGACAGGGCGUGAGGGAGAGAGGAAGAAAGGAGAGGGAGAAGGGGGCGCAGGGUCAGGGAGGCGGUCGAUAGCGGUGGCGGCUCCGGCGACCGGCCGACGGGCUUGCCAGGCAAGGCUAAGGAGUACGCCAGCCUAAGAUUCGAUAGCGGGCAUGACUUGAAUGGAUUUCUGAAUUCCAAACAGUAUGCUGUCGUGAUGUUUGAUUAGUGUCUUCUGUGAAUCUGUACCAAAACAGACUAGACAGCAGACCAAGGCCAUGGAUCGGUUGAUUCAACAGGGAAGGAAGAGACAGCAGAUUAUAAAACGAGCUUGGGGAUUAAUUGUCCUGAAACUUAAACAGGGCCGCCCUGAUGAUGGACUCAAGCUCCAGAUAAAAAAUGAAUUGAAUUAUGAGCAUCAGACAACUACGAUCAAUUUCCCGGUUAUACCUGAAAUAAAAGUGGCCGACCAAAUGAAAGGAGGGAUGCUCUCCUUGAUGUGAGAUUGUAUAGAUUAUCUUACUUGAUCUGCAAUAUUUCUUUGGAUUUCUUUUUUAUGAAAGACACAUGACACAUAGUUUGCUGGAUGGGUCUAAGAUAAAUAUUUUAGUUAUAGGAGGAUUUUUUGAACGAGUAAUAGUAUUACCACCAUUUACUUGGUCUGUUGUGCUUUCGGUAGAGCUUUCAUAUUUCAACACAAAAACAACAAUUCAAGUUGGGACCAGAAUCGCACAAACAUCAAGCUCAAAGGAAAUAUCAGUUGGGAGUGAUCAAGUAUUCAUUUUCUUAGUGAUCUAAUAGGUCUUAUAUUUGUUUAGAGAGGGAGUAUGUUUCUAGAUAGCCGUCAAUUCCAAUGUUUCGUUUAUUUACUCUCUGAAUAUGAAGAAGAUAGGUUUGCAAUGUAGCUUUUUACAUGAUAAUGUAACAAACAUUUAUGUCUUAUAACUGCAAACAUUUUUUUAGUCCAUCACCGAGCAAAUGUUUGGGAGUUGGAAAUUAUUUGGAUACACGUGAUCUCAGCAAAGAAAGAUUCACACAUACUGCAACCAAAGGAGCUCCUUUCACUCUCUAUGCAACUAGAGAAAUUAUCCUUAAUUACGAGCAGUACCCUAGAUUUAGUUGUGGUUCUAACAUAUUAGAGAUGUGGUUAGAAUACCUACUACUCUGAAAUAUUAAGUGGUUUGCACAAAUCACCGAUUCCCUCGUGCAGUGUACAAUGUGAUAUUGAUCAUCAUAGGAUCAAACUUAAUACAGGAAGUACGCACUUAAUUGUUUCUGAACUAUACUACUUUGUAUGUUCAUUCUCCUUUCCUUUUAAAUCUCAAAUUUAGUUGCAAGUAUUUUAUUUGUUAUCAUUUGGCUUCUUAAUAAGAAAUUCAGCAAGCAACUACUCGACUGAUGAGAGAGAUGUUGACAAUUUUUGCUGCAGUGAGGUGCAUUCUCGAUCAUGUUAAUAAUCUGUAUCUAAAUUAUUCAGAUGUGAAACUCAUCCUUCUUAAAACAUCUGCAACACAUAUGUGCACUCCGAAAUGGUAAAAUAUUUGCAUUCUAUAGGCCUUCAAGUUUGUGUAGCAUCCCCAUAUUUACCUGGUUAGUGUAUAUGUUGGUAUGCAUUUUGCCUGCACAAGAUUGGAAAUGGUGAUAGAUUUGCACAAGACUACUUGCCACUUCUUAUAGGAUUGGUGAAAGAAGAUGAGUAAUUGCUGAAAUUUGAUGUUCUGUGUACAGAAUCAAGACAUGCCACUGUAGAUGUUUUUUUAAAGGCAGCUAGCUACUUGGAUUGCGCAAAUCAACAAGAACUCCCUCAUAUAGCAUCAGAACUAAGGAGACAACUUCCAGUAGACCUGGCCAAUGGAAAUCUCAAUUCUCUUAGCCUGUAAGCUCAGCUCUCAAUCAGGUAUUCUAUUCGUAACUCAGCGUAUUUUUUCUGAAGUUUUAGGCCUAACUCCCAAACAUCUUUUGUCAAGAGUAAGAAUGUAGCUGUUGAUGGUUGCUUGCUGAAGAAGAGUGGUAUCAAUAUUACCAUAGAAGUAGAUGUUUUUCGAAUUAUUCUUGAUUUUCUAUUGUGUUAAUAUCUCUCUGCUCUGUUUUUAAUUGGGAAUCCUUGCUCCUUGGGUCCCUGUAAAUUGUACAAAAGGUAAUUUAUCUGAAUUUUAUGGUCUUUUAGUUUGUUC